rnacentral:rRNA from 1 species
UAGGGGGCAAGCGUUAUCCGGAUUUACUGGGUGUAAAGGGCGCGUAGACGGCGGUACAAGCCAGAUGUGAAAGCCCGGGGCUCAACCCCGGGACUGCAUUUGGAACUGUAGUGCUGGAGUGUCGGAGAGGCAGGCGGAAUUCCUAGUGUAGCGGUGAAAUGCGUAGAUAUUAGGAGGAACACCAGUGGCGAAGGCGGCCUGCUGGACGAUGACUGACGUUGAGGCUCGAAAGCGUGGGGAGCAAA